AUUGAACGCUGGCGGCAGGCCUAACACAUGCAAGUCGAGCGGAGCGGCGGACGGGUGAGUAAUGCCUAGGAAUCUGCCUGGUAGUGGGGGAUAACGUCCGGAAACGGGCGCUAAUAUCGCAUACUAUCAGAUGAGCCUAGGUCGGAUUAGCUAGUUGGUGGGGUAAAGGCCUACCAAGGCGACGAUCCGUAACUGGUCUGAGAGGAUGAUCAGUCACACUGGAAAUAAGACACGGUCCAGAAUCCGACGGGAAGCAGAAGUGGGGAAUAUUAGACAAUGGGCGAAAGCAUAGUCCAGCCAUGCCGCGUGUGUGAAGAAGGUGUUCGGAUUGUAAAGCACUUUAAGUAGGGAGGCGUUACCGACAGAAUAAGCACCGGCUAACUUCGUGCCAGCAGCCGCGGUAAUUC
rnacentral:rRNA from 1 species